rnacentral:rRNA from 1 species
CGGACGCUAAUACCGCAUACGUCCUACGGGAGAAAGCAGGGGACCUUCGGGCCUUGCGCUAUCAGAUGAGCCUAGGUCGGAUUAGCUAGUUGGUGAGGUAAUGGCUCACCAAGGCGACGAUCCGUAACUGGUCUGAGAGGAUGAUCAGUCACACUGGAACUGAGACACGGUCCAGACUCCUACGGGAGGCAGCAGUGGGGAAUAUUGGACAAUGGGCGAAAGCCUGAUCCAGCCAUGCCGCGUGUGUGAAGAAGGUCUUCGGAUUGUAAAGCACUUUAAGUUGGGAGGAAGGGCAUUAACCUAAUACGUUAGUGUUUUGACGUUACCGACAGAAUAAGCACCGGCUAACUCUGUGCCAGCAGCCGCGGUAAUACAGAGGGUGCAAGCGUUAAUCGGAAUUACUGGGCGU